rnacentral:rRNA from 1 species
CCAAUAGCGUAUAUUAAAGUUGUUGCAGUUAAAAAGCUCGUAGUUGAAUUUUGGAUUCUGCCAGUUGGUCCAUCUUUUGAUGAGUACUGAUUGUGUGGGGUCUAUCCGCCUGGUAAUACGUAAUGUACUUUAUUGUAUGUUACGGGUAGUCAGGACCUUUACCUUGAAAAAAUUAGAGUGUUUAAAGCAGGCUUAUGCCGGAAUACAUUAGCAUGGAAUAAUAGAAUAGGACGAUGUUGUUUUAUUUUGUUGGUUUCUAGGACAACCGUAAUGAUUAAUAGGGAUAGUUGGGGGCAUUAGUAUUCAAUUGUCAGAGGUGAAAUUCUUGGGUUUAUUGAAGACUAACUACUGCGAAAGCAUUUGCCAAGGAUGUUUUCAUUAAUCAAGAACGAAAGUUAGGGGAUCGAAGACGAUCAGAUACCGUCGUAGUCUUAACCAUAAACUAUGCCGACUAGGGAUCGGGCGAUGUUGUUUCCAUGACUCGCUCGGCACCUUAUG